rnacentral:rRNA from 1 species
UACGUAGGGUGCGAGCGUUGUCCGGAUUUACUGGGCGUAAAGCGCGCGCAGGCGGACUGAUCAGUCUGGGGUGAAAUCUCCCGGCUCAACUGGGAGCGGUCCCUGGAUACUGUCAGUCUUGAGAGACCUAGAGGAGAGCGGAAUUCCCGGUGUAGUGGUGGAAUGCGUAGAUAUCGGGAAGAACACCAGUGGCGAAAGCGGCUCGCUGGGGGUUUUCUGACGCUGAGGCGCGAAAGCGUGGGGAGCGAACCGG